UGCCUAUGGGAGAAUCCACACAUAUGGGACAUACCAAAGCUGGCAGUCCCUAUGGGCAGGAAGAAGUCUGGUCCUGUGAACCCGUCUGUAUGUACUUGUAGCACUCUUCUGCCGAAGGCUGCCUCUGCUAAAGCGGCCCACAGCAGAAG